UAUUUACAAGGUUGCUUUUGCAG
rnacentral:siRNA from 1 species